UGUCCCUAUAGUGCAAUUUAUAGCGCGUUGGACAUCUACUUCAAAGGUCGUUUGUUCGAUCCUAACUGGGAUAC